UCCCUGGUAACUCAGAUGGUAAAGGAUCUACCUGCAAUGCAGGAGACCUAGGUUCGAUCCCUGGAUUGGGAA
rnacentral:tRNA from 1 species